GAUGAACGCUGGCGGCGUGCCUAAUACAUGCAAGUCGAGCGAACAGACGAGGAGCUUGCUCCUCUGACGUUAGCGGCGGACGGGUGAGUAACACGUGGAUAACCUACCUAUAAGACUGGGAUAACUUCGGGAAACCGGAGCUAAUACCGGAUAAUAUAUUGAACCGCAUGGUUCAAUGGUGAAAGACGGUUUUGCUGUCACUUAUAGAUGGAUCCGCGCCGCAUUAGCUGGUUGGUAAGGUAACGGCUUACCAAGGCAACGAUGCGUAGCCGACCUGAGAGGGUGAUCGGCCACACUGGAACUGAGACACGGUCCAGACUCCUACGGGAGGCAGCAGUAGGGAAUCUUCCGCAAUGGGCGAAAGCCUGACGGAGCAACGCCGCGUGAGUGAUGAAGGUCUUCGGAUCGUAAAACUCUGUUAUUAGGGAAGAACAAAUGUGUAAGUAACUAUGCACGUCUUGACGGUACCUAAUCAGAAAGCCACGGCUAACUACGUG
rnacentral:rRNA from 1 species